GUUCAUGUGAUCCGAGAGGUAGCUUCCAUGGCAAAAGAAAAGCUUGAAGUGUCUUGUGAAGUCAUUGAUCUGAGGACUAUAAUACCUUGGGAUGUGGACACAAUUUGUAAGGUAUUUCUGUUUGUGUAUGGUAUUUGCAGCAACCAACAUCAACAGCUGGUUUGUUCCCUAAUUUUUCAAGUCUGUGAUCAAAACAGGGCGACUGCUAAUCAGUCACGAGGCUCCCUUGACAGGCGG
rnacentral:sRNA from 1 species